UCUCUCUCUCUCUCUCUCUCUAUCUCUCUCUCUCUCUCUCUCUCGUUCACUAUACCCACCAACAUCAACUACACCCACCACUACCCUCCACCGGAGAACCACCACCACCACCGCCUACCGCCUCCAAUCUUCGCCUCUUCAGCCAAUCAACCACCACUUAAUCCGAGUGAAUGUGGAUGGUAUUUGAGAUUUUGACAAACCCAGCUAGAGCUGUCCCUGCCCAAGAGAAAUUUAUCAAGUUUCUAGAAGAUAUUAGAUAUGCACCUAUGAAGGCAGCCACAUCUGGUUUUGUCCUCUUAAAAGACCUUC